UCUCUCUUCAUCUUUAUAUGUCUCGCUGCCCACAGCAUCAAUCAUUGCUGCCUAAAAGCUUUCUUCUCGAUACUUCUCCUUUUAUCUGGAAACCGCGAUUACGCAUCGAGAUCUCCGUAUCGCCAUCGCCAACACCAGCUGAUUAUGAGGUUUUUGAAGCCAAAGUCUACUGUUCCAGGAUCUAUCAGUUCAUGGUAUCGUUCCUUCCUUGAUACCAAGCUGGAUAUAUAAUUAUUGAAGCUAUGUUGACUGUUUCCACUAUACAUAAGUGAAGUGAUAUGCUGAUUUGGGAAUGAGGUUGAUACCACCUAACACUCGUCUAAGUGACACAAGUUAGAAGAAAGGACCUCAUAUACUUCAUGUCAUGAAAAGCAUCCACACCUUGCAGUGUAUAUUUAGGAAAUGAAUUUCAUGAUUUUGGAGGUCUCUGAUGUUCAUUCCAGCAAGUUCCUCUCCCAAAAGCUUCCUGCAACCACAACAGAAGAGACAAAUCAUUUCAGAUGAAAGAUGAGAGCAUGACGUGGAUUUUUGGGAACCUGUGUUUCAAGUGGAUCAUGGUGAAUUGUGAUGUCUGCAGCUAGGAAUGGUCUUUCAAUGGUGUAGGGGGAAGAAGUAGAAGAAUAGACACUCAAUAUAGUAAAGCUUCUUCUGGAAGGGGGUAUUAACAUCUGACGAGGGUCAUUCAUUAAUCAUGAGAAUAUGCUUCCUAAUGCUCGAAUAGGGAAAUAACUGCAGGUAGGCAGGUGCGAUGGGUGCAAGUCUUCAGAAGGCGAAACUGAUGACUAGCUUCAGUGAUGCAGAAUUAGUAUAUCUAAUUACCGCCAGGUUUCAGAUUUUCAGGUCAGAUUCUCAUAAUAUGUAUUCCCUCCUCAAACUCGAGAUCUCAGUGUUUGCUAAAGCAUGUUAAACAUUUACACUGAAAUACGGAGUAUAAACUUUAAACAUAAUGCACCCCUUAGAUCUAUAGAAUUUAGCAUCCUAAAUUCUAAUCAACAAAUUAAGUAAAACUAUGUAGUAGCUACAUCUGAAGUAUCGAUCAAAACUUCCCUCAUGUAACCAGUAAAAUGAGUGUGCAUAAAGUUGAUAAAAUAUAGUAGAACUAUGUAGUAGCUACAUCUGAUAUAGUCUUGUUUGAUGGUUAGGGUCCUAUGAUAUUAUCUAAGUCUACAUUUAGUGGCAUAUUUGUUGUUUUGGUGGUGUUGCUUGUGUUUGAUUUCAAGUUGAGAUGUGAUGGCACAAGACUCCCACAGAUGUGAUGACAUGAAAAUUUAUAUAUAUGUGGUUUUCAUUUAUGAACUAUGCUCUUUUUUGUCUUCUGAUUCCAGUGAUUAUGGUAAAACAUUAGUGAGAAA